rnacentral:rRNA from 1 species
AAUACCAGUGGCGAAGGCGGCGUUCUGGACUGACACUGACACUGAGGUGUGAAAGCGUGGGUAGCAAACAGGAUUAGAUACCCUCGUAGUCCACGCCGUAAACGAUGUCGACCAGCCGUUGGGUGCCUAGCGCACUUUGUGGCGAAGUUAACGCGAUAAGUCGACCGCCUGGGGAGUACGGCCGCAAGGUUAAAACUCAAAUGAAUUGACGGGGGCCCGCACAAGCGGUGGAGCAUGUGGUUUAAUUCGAUGCAACGCGAAGAACCUUACCUACUCUUGACAUCCUGCGAAUUUGGUAGAGAUACCUUAGUGCCUUCGGGAACGCAGAGACAGGUGCUGCAUGGCUGUCGUCAGCUCGUGUUGUGAAAUGUUGGGUUAAGUCCCGUAACGAGCGCAACCCUUGUCCUUAUUUGCCAGCGCGUAAUGGCGGGAACUCUAAGGAGACUCCCGGUGACAAACCGGAGGAAGGUGGGGACGACGUCAAGUCAUCAUGGCCCUUACGAGUAGGGCUACACACGUGCUACAAUGGUCGGUACAAAGGGUUGCCAACUCGCGAGAGUGAGCCAAUCCCGAAAAGCCGAUCUCAGUCCGGAUCGGAGUCUGCAACUCGACUCCGUGAAGUCGGAAUCGCUAGUAAUCGUAGAUCAGAAUGCUACGGUGAAUACGUUCCCGGGCCUUGUACACACCGCCCGUCACACCAUGGGAGUGGACUGCACCAGAAGUGGUUAGCCUAACGCAAGAGGGCG